rnacentral:rRNA from 1 species
GAUGUUAGCGGCGGACGGGUGAGUAACACGUGGGUAACCUGCCUGUAAGACUGGGAUAACUCCGGGAAACCGGAGCUAAUACCGGAUAGUUCCUUGAACCGCAUGGUUCAAGGAUGAAAGACGGUUUCGGCUGUCACUUACAGAUGGACCCGCGGCGCAUUAGCUAGUUGGUGGGGUAAUGGCUCACCAAGGCGACGAUGCGUAGCCGACCUGAGAGGGUGAUCGGCCACACUGGGACUGAGACACGGCCCAGACUCCUACGGGAGGCAGCAGUAGGGAAUCUUCCGCAAUGGACGAAAGUCUGACGGAGCAACGCCGCGUGAGUGAUGAAGGUUUUCGGAUCGUAAAGCUCUGUUGUUAGGGAAGAACAAGUGCGAGAGUAACUGCUCGCACCUUGACGGUACCUAACCAGAAAGCCACGGCUAACUACGUGCCAGCAGCCGCGGUAAUACGUAGGUGGCAAGCGUUGUCCGGAAUUAUUGGGCGUAAAGGGCUCGCAGGCGGUUUCUUAAGUCUGAUGUGAAAGCCCCCGGCUCAACCGGGGAGGGUCAUUGGAAACUGGGAAACUUGAGUGCAGAA